GACUCACAAAGCCUUAUUGUUGUUGCUUUCUAUACUCACAGGGGCAGGGAUCUGGAGUACGCUGGCUGAGAUGUGUGAAAAGAAACCCAGUUCGCCGUUGAGUUUUGAGAAUCUGUGUGGCCGUGGAUCUGAUUUCGGUAACUUCUUGCAGCUGUGCUGUGAGCACAGAGAGGCCGUGGAUGUUCUGCCGGACCAGUGCGUUUGCGGGCUUACCUGGCAUCGACUACCUCUGUCUGAGGAGAGUGUUGCAGGCUUCCCUGGCAUAGGUUACUUUGUUGCUUCUCCAGAUUUCCUACCUCCGGGAAGCAUCCGUGUGGCUGUCCGGAGCUACUUUCUUGCGUUAGAAGCUCAAACAGUAACCUCGGCGGCAUAGGAGGCUCUGAAAACAGUUUUCCAGAGUCCCCUGCCAGAGAUCUGUCCUAAGAUUCGCUUGAACUCACUUCCAUUGAGUCACAGCUACCAGAUGGUGGUUUUUCAGCCUCAGAAUAAAGCAUCGCACAUAAAGCACACGAAAGCAAGUGCUCCUUCUUUGCAGAGGUGACUAGUUUGAAGAGCUGCCGUGAUGCCGUGCAGGGCUCAUGGUGCCCACUUCAUAAAGAUAGGAAGAGCACAAAGGAGAAACUGGGGGACUCCGGCCUUGCAGCUAAUCGGCUGAGUGCAGCUUGCAGCGGUCAGCAUGCAACUUGAAUUUCUAACUCUAAUUCAUUCCCUUCACAAGUCAAAGAGCCUUUGGAGAAGGGCCAUCCAGGGCUGUGGAAAUUGGAAAUCAGUAUUUCUCAAAGAAGUUUUUAUUUGCAUAUCCCUAAUUGCUAAGGGCGCUGAACACUUAAGUAGUUCUUAGCCAUUUUGUCUCUUCUUCUGAGGACUGUGUGAAGAUUCAUAGCCCACUCUUUAAAUUGGGUCAUUUAUUUUCUUGACUCUUUACUUUUAGAGUUCUUUGUGUAUUCUGGAUAUUAAUCCUCUGUCAGAUGUAUAGCUGGCAAAGAUACUUUUCUGCUCUUAGGCUUCCUUUUCACUGGGCUGAUUGUUUCCUUUGCUGUACAUGAGCUUUUCAGCUUUAUGGGUUCUCACUUGUUCUUUGUCCUAAAUUCUUAUGUGAAUGGAGCCCUUAGAACACCCUCACCUAUGCCUAUAUAUAUUUUUUUUGGGGGGGUGCUAUCUAUUUUUUUUCUAGACAUUUCAUAAUUUUAGGUUUAAUAUGCAGUCUUUGAUUCCUUUGGAGGUCAUUUUUGUAUAAAAUGAUAGAAAGGGGUAUAAUCUCAUUCUUCUACAUGUGGCCACCUAGUUUCCCCAGCACUGUUUGUUGAAGAUGCUGUCUUUCAUCCAUUGUGUAUUUUUGGCAUCUUUGUCAAACAUCAGGUGGCUGUAGUUGCAUGCACUCAUGUCUGGGUCUUCUAUUUUGUUGUAUUAAUCAAAAGGUCUGUGGUUUUUUUUUUUAAUACCAUCACCAAAUUGGUGUGUGUGUGUGUGUGUGUGUGUGUGAGUGUGUGCUAUAGCCCCGUGAGAUAGCUUGGAAUCUGGUAUUGUAAUCUCUCCAGAAUUGUUCUUUUUGCACUGCACAGCUUUGGGUCUCUGAGAUUUUUUGUGAUUAUGCAUGAAUUUUAUGAAGCUUUCCUCCUAUUUUUGUGAAGAAUAUUGCGGAGAUUUCGAUCAGGAUUGCACUGAAUCUUUAAAAGCUUUUGGCAGGACAGUCUUUUUCACAAUAAUAACUUUACCAAUACGUGGGCAUGGGAGGUCUUUAAAUCUUCUAAUGUUUUCUUCAAUCUCCCCUCCCUGCAGAGAUUUAAAUUUUUCAUUGUAGACGUCUUUCACAUCUUGGUUAAAGUAAUUUCCAGAUAUUUUUGAGGUGAUUGUUUUCAUGAUCUCUCUCUGUGUGAGUGUGUGUGUGCAUGUGUGUUUGUUAUUGGUAUAUAACUACUGACUUUGUAAGUUCAGUACUCCAGUCAGAAUGCUAAGAUCAAGAGAGCAUCUGACAACAAAUGCUGUCAAGGACAUAGGGAAAGGAGGUCCCCAUUCCCUGGAAUGCGAAUUGGAGCAGCACUAUGGAAAUCAGCGUGGAGAAUUCCCACAAAGCUAAAAGUAGAUCUGCCACGUGACCCAGCUCUACCACCGCUCGGCACAGUCCUAAAGAAAUCGACAUCCUAUUCCACAGGGAACACCACAGAGAGGGGCGGAAGACUGAAGAGCUGGAUGACCAGGAUCUUUGCUGCUGGAGAGUGUCUUCUGCUUAUCACAGUGACCUGCCAGCGGGUACGGCUGGGGUGUUACCAUCAUGCUGGGUUUAAUCUGUGGUUUUCCUUCUUCAGUUGGGAGCCUAGAGUGAUAGACCUGCCGAGCGAGUCCAGAGGGCAGAUUUUACAGCCCUGAUGCAGCAAGCUCCUUUCUCCCCUUUCUCUUUGGCUGAAUAACCAGAUAGGCACCUAUUACACACCCAGGCCUCUUCUGUCCCUCUGUUUCUCACAUCUGUCUUUUGGCCAUCAAGAACUGUGUGUGAAUUCCUUGCUUUACUUUUACAUGCUGGUUAUUUGCAAACUCGUCAAGCCCGUGGCCUCAUCACAUUCGCAGGUAAUUAGUUGAAGUAUUUGAAAUGUGGGCCUUGGAUGUGGCAGAGAGGAAUGUGUCGUUCAGAAAAGAAGUCCUUUCAGAAGUUCAGGAUGCCUGGUGUAAGCUAUUGCUCCCUGAAGAAGAGUGUUAACCGAGAGAGCAACCCCCCCGGCUGGUUAUGCCCACUGUGCCAGCAUUGUGCUGACAAUUUGCCUACAGUGGUCCCUGUGACUGCAGCAAUGGUUGGAGGAAAAAUAACCAAGUAUGGAGUGCACUGGGGAAGCAAGGUGAUUAAGGAGAAAGAGAAAUACUAAAUCAACUUUGGGAAGAAAAAUACUAGGGUGGAUAAAUUAGCUGGGAGAGAGAGUUAGGAUACUGUUAGGGCCCACAGAUUUAAAGUUCUGAAGCUGUGUAAGAUUGUACUUAAGAAAAAUAAAAGGGGGCUGGAGAGAUGGCUCAGUGGUUAGAGCACUGGCUGCUCUUCCAGAGGACCCAGGAUCAGUUCCCAGCACCCACACAGUGGCUCACAACUGUCUGCAACACUAGUCCCAUGGGAUCCCAUGCCCACUUCUGACCUCAGAGGGCACCAGGAAUGAACGGGGUACACAGACACACACGCAGACAAAACAUCAAUAUGUGUAAAAUAAAUAAAGAAGUGAAAAGGGAGGAGAUAAGGAUGAGAGGAAGAGGAAGAAGGAAGGGCGUAGGAGUGAAAAGGGGGUAUUCGAGACGAGGGUGAAGGGUGCAAUAAGUUCACCGUACAGUAAACUGGUGGAGAAACAUGAGCCACAACCUAAACCUAACUGAGCAACAAACGAACAAAAGCAAAACCUCGGUGAGACGCGUGUGCAAGAGCGGAAAGUCCAGAAGAGGACACAGAAUAUUUGCCUCGUGUCUGUGUGGCUACAGCGGUAUCAUGCUGUCAUCGCUAACCAAACCAACAGUGAAGGUCAAUGGCAUUACCAUGUCUUGCUUAGACGGUCCAGUUUACUCUUUGGGAAUGAGCCUGUCCUCACUGAGGAGCCACGGCUUCCGGUAGCCCACAUUCGCCACGUGCCGUAGAGCCUGGCAGAUGUGUGGAGAGGACAAGGCCGUGACUACUGAAACGCUGCUUCCUUCCUUUUCCACGGUGAAGGUGGAAUGUUCAAACAACCUUAGCGUGUGCUAAGAUUUGUGGUAGCAAAACCAUUGAAUACCACUUUAUUUGAAAAUGAGAAUGGAACCUGCCGCAAUAGGAAGAGUAAAAGCAUUUCUCUUAAACAGCAAAGCGCAGCUUUUUAUGGGCCUAGGUGAUGCAGCCGUGGAAAGCAGCUUCGCAAGCUUUUCUGCAGAUUCAUUUAUAAACUCACAUAAUCUUGGAUAUUCAUUAGCUUCCACCAUUGCCAUUGUUUUAGGACUCGCAUUAUUAAAUCAAUAUUCUUCAUAAAUUUUAAAA